rnacentral:rRNA from 1 species
UACGAAGGGGGCUAGCGUUGUUCGGAAUUACUGGGCGUAAAGCGCACGUAGGCGGGUCGUUAAGUCAGUGGUGAAAUCCCGGAGCUCAACUCCGGAACUGCCUUUGAUACUGGCGACCUUGAGAUCGAGAGAGGUGAGUGGAAUUCCGAGUGUAGAGGUGAAAUUCGUAGAUAUUCGGAAGAACACCAGUGGCGAAGGCGGCUCACUGGCUCGAUACUGACGCUGAGGUGCGAAAGCGUGGGGAGCAAACAGG